CUUGCAGAGGGAUGCAGCACUCUUAAAAUUGCAAAGCUUCUGAAGCGUGAUCAUCGAACAAUCAAGCGUUUCAUUCAAAAUAGUCAACAGGGUCGCAAGAAGCGUGUGGAAAAACCAAGGCGCAAAAUAACUGCCCAUGAACUGAGAAAAGUCAAGCGUGCAGCUGCCACGAUGCCACUUGCCACCAGUUUGGCCAUAUUUCAGAGCUGCAACAUCACUGGAGUGCCCAAAAGCACAAGGUGUGCAAUACUCAGAGACAUGGCCGAGGUAAGAAAGGCUGAAAGACGACCACCACUGAACAAGACACACAAGCUGAAACGUCAAGACUGGGCCAAGAAAUAUCUCAAGACUGAUUUUUCUAAGGUUUUAUGGACUGAUGAAAUGAGAGUGAGUCUUGAUGGGCCAGAUGGAUGGGCCCGUGGCUGGAUUGGUAAAGGGCAGAGAGCUCCAGUCCGAC